ensembl:snRNA U1 U1 spliceosomal RNA
AUACUUACCUGGCAGGGGAGAUACCAUGAUCACGAAGGUGGUUUUCCCAGGGCGAGGCUUAUCCAUUGCACUCUGGAUGUGCUGACCCCUGCGAUUUCCCCAAAUGCGGGAAACUCGACUGCAUAAUUUGUGGUAGUGGGGGACUGCGUUCGCGCUCUCCCCUG